rnacentral:rRNA from 1 species
GAUGAACGCUAGCGGCAGGAACACAUGCAAGUCGAGGGGUAGAGUUCUUCGGAACUUGAGACCGGCGCACGGGUGCGUAACGCGUAUGCAAUCUACCUUUUACAGAGGGAUAGCCCAGAGAAAUUUGGAUUAAUACCUCAUAGUAUAGUACAACCGCAUGGUUGAACUAUUAAAGUCACAACGGUAAAAGAUGAGCAUGCGUCCCAUUAGCUAGUUGGUAAGGUAACGGCUUACCAAGGCUACGAUGGGUAGGGGUCCUGAGAGGGAGAUCCCCCACACUGGUACUGAGACACGGACCAGACUCCUACGGGAGGCAGCAGUGAGGAAUAUUGGACAAUGGGCGCAAGCCUGAUCCAGCCAUGCCGCGUGCAGGAUGACGGUCCUAUGGAUUGUAAACUGCUUUUAUACGAGAAGAAACACUCCGACGUGUCGGAGCUUGACGGUAUCGUAAGAAUAAGGAUCGGCUAACUCCGUGCCAGCAGCCGCGGUAAUACGGAGGAUCCAAGCGUUAUCCGGAAUCAUUGGGUUUAAAGGGUCCGUAGGCGGUUUAAUAAGUCAGUGGUGAAAGCCCAUCGCUCAACGGUGGAACGGCCAUUGAUACUGUUAAACUUGAAUUAUUAGGAAGUAACUAGAAUAUGUAGUGUAGCGGUGAAAUGCUUAGAGAUUACAUGGAAUACCAAUUGCGAAGGCAGGUUACUACUAAUGGAUUGACGCUGAUGGACGAAAGCGUGGGUAGCGAACAGGAUUAGAUACCCUGGUAGUCCACGCCGUAAACGAUGGAUACUAGCUGUUGGAAGCAAUUUCAGUGGCUAAGCGAAAGUGAUAAGUAUCCCACCUGGGGAGUACGUUCGCAAGAAUGA